AGUGCUGAAAGCAUCUAAGCAUGAAGCCCCCCUCAAGAUGAGAUUUCCCAUUACUCAAGUAAGUAAGACCCCUGAAAGACGAUCAGGUAGAUAGGUUCGAGGUUGAAGUACGGUGACGUAUGGAGCUGACGAAUACUAAUCGGUCGAGGACUUAACCAAA
rnacentral:rRNA from 1 species